UUAAGUCCGUACGAGCGCAACCUGUCCUAGUUACCAGCACGUAUGGUGGGCACUCUAAGGAGACUGCCGGUGACAAACCGGAGGAAGGUGGGGAUGACGUCAAGUCAUCAUGGCCCUUACGGCCUGGGCUACACACGUGCUACAAUGGUCGGUACAAAGGGUUGCCAAGCCGCGAGGUGGAGCUAAUCCCAUAAAACCGAUCGUAGUCCGGAUCGCAGUCUGCAACUCGACUGCGUGAAGUCGGAAUCGCUAGUAAUCGUGAAUCAGAAUGUCACGGUGAAUACGUUCCCGGGCCUU
rnacentral:rRNA from 1 species